rnacentral:lncRNA from 1 species
AAUUCCUUCAGAUCAGACACCCCACCAGCCCCCUCUGGCUUUUCAGGGAAGGCUGGAGAGACUAAUGAUAACGGGGAGCAGCCUUCUAACUACAUUUAUUCUCCUUGACCCCUGACACCAAUUCUCAUCCAGUUGGGAAUAGAAAAACGAAGGGUUCCUCAAGGGUGAACACAUUGUUUAGGUUUUCCAUCCCCAAUGUUCAGCUGAUCCAUCCCCCUUCUCCCUCUGGCCACUUUUACCCCAUCCUCAGACAAUGACAGCACCACUGCUCCUUUGCAAACUUGCAGUCUUCAACCUAACAUGUGCCCUCUCACCUGUGCCAGCCUGCUUCCAUCAGGACCUCUCAACCCCAUUUGAGAGGGACAGUACAGACUUUCUGGGAUACUAAGUCCACACACACACAAAAGGCUUAUGUCUUAACUGAAACUAAAGAACAGCCUAGAGCUACAGCUCUGAAUGUUUCUUGAUCACUGACAUAAACCCUCUCGAGUGUGCACCCCCACCAUGUGUGUCUAUCUGCUUACACAUCACAUGAAUGUACUAAUCUGAACUUUAUAACACACAUACACAAAUACAGUUCUCAAUAAAUAAGGCUAAAUUAAAAUUAAUAGGUUUUUAUUCAGAUGAUUAGUUAUUAUUUAUUGGG